GUGAAGCAGCUCCUUCAGGUAAAGACCCAGCAGAGACAACGAGGGGUUUUAAAGCGUGUCAUGGAUCAGAGGCGAAAGGUAAAGCGGCCUUUAAGGUGCCCGCCCGAGCACAGCCCGUGUUUUACUGAGCUCCUUCGGCGCGUAUGGGAAUGCUCGGCGUUAUUCCAGGCCUGGAAGGAGCCGACAGGGAUUUUUAUUUUUGUUUUUUUAACCUUGUUUUCAUUGUUUUCUGGCUCCGUGGCUUUGUGCUCACACAAAGGGAAUUUCACCUGCUGUUCAGAACAAAAGGACACGGAAAGUUUUCCAAGCACAGAGAGAGGGAUGAGGGGAAGGAGCUCUACAGGAGCAAAACGAGUUGUUGCUGUUUUUUUUUUUUGCAGCAAGCUGUAAAACAUCCCCGUCCUUCGGUGCCUGCCAGAGGCACACAAGUUCCCUGUCCCCAUCGGGCCACCCCAGCGAGAUCCCCCAGAUGCUGCCGAUUGGGGCUGCUCCGAUUUGGGGUGCAGGGGGGCCGUGGGAUGGCGACACGGUCACUUUCUGAGAGCAAAACGCUGCUAAGUGCUUGCCACAGGCCCUACGCCCAUGGACAGCUCAACCCCCUGGGAAAAAGCCACCCCCAAAAUUCCUGGCCCGGGCCAUUUCUGCCGGAGCUUUCCCGACACCAGAGGGCUGCAAUAGGUGGAAGUGAUCGACUCACUAUGAGACUGCUGUUUUUGCCUCCGACUUGGGAUCAGGCAGAGCUACAGGAGCGGGGGAGCCGUGGCGCUGCCGCCCUGGGAGCAGGCACUUACCUCUCACUGCAUCGAGCCCCCCGGCCCCGGGUCCUGCGGAGUUAGCUGGCGAGAGACCCCGCAUCCGCUCCGGUUCCUCCCAGGACCAGCAUUCGACUGCUGCUUCGUAGGCACAGACCCAACCCUUCCAUUGCAACCACACGAAAAAAAAAAAAAAAUUAAGAUCUUCUUCCAAAAGAAAAAAAAAAAAGAGGGAGCUUAAAAAAAAAACAAACAACAAAACACGUUUUUUUUUUUUUGUUUGGUUUCCCUGGAGAAAAAAAAAAAAUAGAUAAAUCCCAGCGGCCAAGAGAUCCAGACUCAGGUGAAUUUAGCUUCAAACUCCCUCUGCGCUUUCAGAGGCUUCACCCUCAAAUGGGCUCUGGAAGAUGCUGGGGGCCCCAUCGCUGCAAAAGUGUCAUCAAAUAUCCUUCGGGCUCAACUCCGCUCCUGCCCGGGGAGGGAAGACUUCUUCGCUGCUGGAUGCGUGCUGUGUAGUUGGCAGGGACCUGCCUGCUUCGGUCUCAGCGUGGAGGGUGGGUUGCUUGCUUGCUCGGUGGUUUGUUGUUUCUUUUUUCUUUUUUUUUUCCCUCUGCUAUUGGUUUCCUUGCUAUCUGAUCCUGAGCGAGCGCUGCAGCUCGGCGCUUCCCUGCUUUUCCCCAGCCGUUUGACAGGGAAUGAAACGCAGACACCCAGCGAGACAGGCUCCAGCUUCUACAAAGCUCCACUCCCUCCUACCGCCUUUGUCCGUGAACAGCAACUCCUCCAACUCUGCCCGUAGACACAAGUGAACCUCUGCAUCAGCACUUUCCUAAUGGCUGCUUCGCCCGAGCCCUUCGGCCCUUCUUCUUCCUCGCUUCCUCUCCUCCACCUCGAUUUUCCUCCUCCCUUUGAUUUUCCUGGCUGAGCAGAGCCCCGGCCGGCGGCGAUGCUCCCCCCGGCUCCAGCUCAGCUCCCCAACGCCGGCUGCUGCGGCCGGGGGCUCGCGGCCCCGUGCUCCAUCACCGCCCUUUCUGGGCUCCUUCCACGAAAAAUCGAUGCUGGGCACGGCCACCCCGCAGGCUUCGCUCCCGUUUCGGCUCUUUUAGGGGCAGGGUCUGCAGGAAGAGAAGCAGGGGGCAGGGGGAGGGCGGGGAAGCAAAGCCACUUCUUUUUAUUGCGGGCAGGGAUUUUUUUUUAUUUUUUUUUUUUUAAGGUUGGUUGGAGUCCAAGUUUAUUUCUUGGUGGUGAGCAUUAUUUUAAGCUCUUUGGGAGGCUUCGGGUGUCUCCAGGUCACCCUGUCCUUAUAAAAGUGAGGCCUUUUUGGAGAGGGUCGAAGCAAAGUCCUGCUCCGGCAGCCUCUUCCCCCACGGUGGGCUCCCAACCCAGGCUGGCCCCCAGCCAGCAGGAGACACAAACCAGCCCCCGGCUGUAACUUUUGCUGUGUUUGCCUCCGCUCUCCGGCACCCGCGAGAUCCCGGGGCUGCCUCCUGCUCCUGGGGGGAGCUUUGCAGGCUUCGUUAAAAACGACAGCCGGCAGACCUCCAGCCUCAGCAGCGAUGCUCAGCAUCGCUCAGCUGAGCCGUCCCACAGCCUAAAAACCGGUGGCACACCCGCGGGUCACGUAACACCCACGCAGCCCCCCAGCACGUUAAGGGGUUGCCUCCCCACCUCCCUUCCUCACAUCCUCCCGUGCAUUCCUCACCCUCUUCUUCAUCUCCCCCCGCGGUUUGGGACCGCUGCUCCCUUCCUCCCUUGGGCAGUGACUCUCCUCGCUCCCGCUGCCCAUCUCCCUUCUCUCCCCAGCCGUGUCCGACGGAGCACCGUGUUUCCCAGCACCAUUUUUGCCUCUCUCCAUCACCCCCAAGCUCCAGAAGAGCUCCAAGGCCAGGUCAGACCUUGCCAUGCUGCCUCCUUCCCCUUCUCCACGCCGUCUUGCCCCAGCCUCACCCUAUUGCUUGCACCAGCCCCACAACACUGACUUUUUACCAACGCUUUGAAAUCCCUGGCUGGAAAACCCAAACCCCAGGGGAUGCUCAGGGGGGUCUGCAGCCCUGGAGGCCAGCUCGGAGGGCGACAAGCACCCAGCACCACGAGAGGUGCCAAAGAUGAGGCCAGGGGUCGGGAUCUGGCCUGAUCCCACAGCCAGACCAGCUUUGGCCACGUGCUUUGGAGCUAUUAAAGUGAGGGAUGGAGAGGGGAGGGAUGCAGCUUGCUCUGGGGGGGUCCUUGCAGCCCCCUCUCCCCCGGGAGCCCCAUCCCACCGCCCGGGAGCGCCGGCACCGCGUCUGCGCGGGGAGGCGAGCGAGUCAGCACAGAGCCAUUAGGGCUAAUUUAAUCAAGACGGAUGGGCGGGUUGGAGGGCUGCCGCCCAUAAAUCCCGCGCUUGCACUGCAUUAGUGUCAGGGCUCCUGGAGGAAGAGGCUUGGGGGGGGGGGUGGGCAGCAGGGCCCGAGAAACAUGCUAAGUCACCCGUCCUGCCCAUGGCACCGGGUCACAGGGCAGCAGCUCAGGGCUGGGGUGCUCCCAAGCACAAGCUGAAGGGGACCCAAGGCCCCUGGAUGCCGGAUCCAUCCCAGAGCCAGGCUGAGACUCCUCUAACUCACCCCGUGCCAGCGCACCGUGGGGCUGUGGGAUGUCCCCAAAGUGAGGUGCUGCUCCUAGAAGGGCCAUUUUGGGGCUCUGGCUGGCAGUCUGAUGGCCCAAAGCAGCCUUCCAACACUGCCCUCAUCCGUACGGGUGCUGGCUCUGCUCAGGCAGCCUGGGUGCACGAGAGGAGUCACCUACCCAAAUUAAAUACAGCCGUUACCGCGCUAUUAACAUGCCCUGAUGCUCCAUAGGCAGCCCUGCGGUGCUCGGAGCUGCUCCCAGUGCAGGAUGUGGCCCUGAACAGGGCCAGGGAGCUGUGCCUUCUGCUCUGGGUCGGCACGGCAGAGCCGAGGGCCACAUCCUGCCCAAGGAACGGUCCACCAGGGGCUGUCAUUAGUGCCCUGCCCCAUGAGGAGCCACAGAGCAGACGAGCCAUUCCUCCCCGAAAAUAUCCAGCGCAGGGAACAAGACGUUGGCCUUCCUGCCAGCCAACAAACGGGGUUGCUUGCAGCCAGUGAAACUCUGCAGAGUUUGCUAAUAAAGGACUGCUCCGUCCAGCUGGAUUUGUCCCC
ensembl:lncRNA